CACGUAGUUAGCCGUGGCUUAUUCAAGGGGUACCGUCUUCUACUCUUCCCCCUUAAAAGAAGUUUACAACCCGAAAGCCUUCUUCCUUCACGCGGCGUUGCUGGGUCAGACUUGCGUCCAUUGCCCAAUAUUCCCCCACUGCUGCCUCCCGUAGGAGUCUGGGCCGUAUCUCAGUCCCAAUGUGGCCGGCCAACCCUCUCAGUCCGGCUACUGAUCGUCGCCUUGGUGGGCCGUUACCUCACCAACUAGCUAAUCAGACGCGAGGCCAUCUUCCAGCGAUAAAUCUUUGACACCAAAGCCAUGCGACUUCGAUGCAUCAUGCGGUAUUAGCAGUCGUUUCCAACUGUUGUCCCCCUCUGGAAGGCAGGUUCCUCACGCGUUACUCACCAGUCCGCCACUAAGCAUUCCCAUCCGUUGUCCGAAACUCCUUCAGGGGUGCUCCGUUCGACUUGCAUGUGUUAAGCACGCCGCCAGCGUCUCUGUGCCACGAUCAACUAC
rnacentral:rRNA from 1 species